rnacentral:rRNA from 1 species
UGGGGAAUCUUGCGCAAUGGGCGAAAGCCUGACGCAGCCAUGCCGCGUGAGUGAUGAAGGCCUUAGGGUUGUAAAACUCUUUCACCGGGGACGAUAAUGACGGCACCCGGAGAAGAAGCCCCGGCUAACUUCGUGCCAGCAGCCGCGGUAAUACGAAGGGGGCUAGCGUUGCUCGGAAUUACUGGGCGUAAAGGGCGCGUAGGCGGAUCAGCAAGUUGGGGGUGAAAGCCCGGGGCUCAACCUCGGAAUUGCCUUCAAAACUGCUGAUCUAGAGUACGGGAGAGGUGUGUGGAACUCCGAGUGUAGAGGUGAAAUUCGUAGAUAUUCGGAAGAACACCAGUGGCGAAGGCGACACACUGGCCCGUUACUGACGCUGAGGCGCGAAAGCGUGGGGAGCAAAACAGGAUUAGAUACCCUGGUAGUCCACGCUGUAAACGAUGAUUGCUAGUUGUCGGCAGGCAUGCCUGUCGGUGACGCAGCUAACGCAUUAAGCAAUCCGCCUGGGGAGUACGGUCGCAAGAUUAAAAACUCAAAUGAAUUGAC